UGUAUCAGAGGAUGAAACCUCGAAACAAUCUUAGGACACCUUCUGACACAGCGUUUCCGCUGUGGAUGAGAAGUCAAUUCUUUUCUGAUGAUACU